GCCAGACGUGGUGCAUGCCUGUAAUCCCAGCACUUGGGAGGCUGAGGUAGGAGGAUCGUUGCCAGUUCGAGGCCGGCCUGGGCUGCAAAGUGAGCUCAAGGCCAGCCUGAACUGCAGAGCGAGACCCUGUCACAAAAAGGCCAAAAAUAAAUAAAAUGGAGACAGAGUCUCGCUCUGCAGUUCAUGCUGGCCUUGAGCUCACUUUGUAGCCCAGGCCGGCCUCAAACUCAUAACGAUCCUCCUGCAUCU
rnacentral:sRNA from 1 species